GAUGAACGCUGGCGGCGUGCCUAAUACAUGCAAGUCGAGCGAACAGACGAGGAGCUUGCUCCUCUGACGUUAGCGGCGGACGGGUGAGUAACACGUGGAUAACCUACCUAUAAGACUGGGAUAACUUCGGGAAACCGGAGCUAAUACCGGAUAAUAUAUUGAACCGCAUGGUUCAAUAGUGAAAGUCGGUUUUGCUGUCACUUAUAGAUGGAUCCGCGCCGCAUUAGCUAGUUGGUAAGGUAACGGCUUACCAAGGCAACGAUGCGUAGCCGACCUGAGAGGGUGAUCGGCCACACUGGAGCUGAGACACGGUCCAGACUCCUACGGGAGGCAGCAGUAGGGAAUCUUCCGCAAUGGGCGAAAGCCUGACGGAGCAACGCCGCGUGAGUGAUGAAGGUCUUCGGAUCGUAAAGCUCUGUUAUUAGGGAAGAACAAAUGUGUAAGUAACUAUGCACGUCUUGACGGUACCUAAUCAGAAAGCCACGGCUAACUACGUG
rnacentral:rRNA from 1 species